rnacentral:rRNA from 1 species
GAUGAACGCUGGCGGCGUGCCUAAUACAUGCAAGUCGAGCGAACGGACGAGAAGCUUGCUUCUCUGAUGUUAGCGGCGGACGGGUGAGUAACACGUGGAUAACCUACCUAUAAGACUGGGAUAACUUCGGGAAACCGGAGCUAAUACCGGAUAAUAUUUUGAACCGCAUGGUUCAAAAGUGAAAGACGGUCUUGCUGUCACGUAUAGAUGGAUCCGCGCUGCAUUAGCUAGUUGGUAAGGUAACGGCUUACCAAGGCAACGAUGCAUAGCCGACCUGAGAGGGUGAUCGGCCACCCGGGAACUGAGACACGGUCCAGACUCCUACGGGAGGCAGCAGUAGGGAAUCUUCCGCAAUGGGCGAGAGCCUGACGGAGCAACGCCGCGUGAGUGAUGAAGGUCUUCGGAUCGUAAAACUCUGUUAUUAGGGAAGAACAUAUGUGUAAGUAACUGUGCACAUCUUGACGGUACCUAAUCAGAAAGCCACGGCUAACUACGUG